AGGGGCCAAUAUCUAAUUGAUUUUAAGUUAAGAUUUAGGUCAAUGCAAUAUGUAUGAUGGUGGUUUGUAAGUCAAGAAAGGAUGAUGAAUUUUUCAUCUUAUCUUGUUUAGGAUUUGUGCUUUAAGAUGUAUUAUAAAGAUGCUAUGCAAAGAAAACAAGAUGACCAAGCGAGUAGAAAAUUUUUUAAAGUUUAAUUAGUUUCUCUAUUUUAGUUAAGUAUUAUGUGGUGCUUUUAUUUUUUUUAUGUUAUGUUAUUUAAAGUAAGAAGAAAGCUUUUAAUAUAUAUUUCUUAUUAUAUUUUUUAUUUUUUUUAUGCUA
rnacentral:lncRNA from 1 species